GCUGCCACGACAAGGAGGCGAACAUGCUGCAGUUCUCCGCCGACAGCAUAUGACGAUGCAAGGGAUGGGCAGCUGCUAAUUGACCCUUGCUGCUGCCACACGCUGGUCAAUGAUGAGCACUGGGGCCCACCACCGGCGGUGGUUACUGACAAUGCCUGUAUGCACAACCCGGCUACCAUGGUGCGGGUUCUAGCACCCAUCUGUACAAUGAUUUCCUUGAGCAUUGGGAUGGGCAGGCUCACAGGCAUCACCAUUAAGUACGGCGACGAGGCUCUCGCGCCGGUUUGGGGCCAGUCAGCCCUCGGCAUCGACUACUUCCUCCUUGACAUCUGGUCCUCACAGCCAUGCGGCGGCAUCGAUUUCACCAUGGCGUAACCAUGGCAGCGAUGGCCUUCUAUAGCGCCUCC